ACGGGAGGCAGCAGUCGGGAAUAUUGCACAAUGGAGGAAACUCUGAUGCAGUGACGCCGCGUAUAGGAAGAAGGUUUUCGGAUUGUAAACUAUUUUAGACAGGGAAGAUAAAAGACGGUACCUGUAGAAUAAGCCCCGGCUAACUAUGUGCCAGCAGCCGCGGUAAUACAUAGGGGGCAAGCGUUAUCCGGAAUUAUUGGGCGUAAAGGGUGCGUAGACGGGAAUUUAAGUUAGUUGUGAAAUCCCUCGGCUCAACUGAGGAACUGCAACUAAAACUGGAUUUCUUGAGUGCAGGAGAGGAAAGCGGAAUUCCUAGUGUAGCGGUGAAAUGCGUAGAUAUUAGGAGGAACACCAGUGGCGAAGGCGGCUUACUGGACUGUAACUGACGCUGGGGCGCGAAAGUGUGGGGAGCAAACAGGAUUAGAUACCCUGGUA
rnacentral:rRNA from 1 species